UCCCCUAGUAACUGCGAGUGAAGCGGGAAAAGCUCAAAUUUGAAAUCUGGCGACUCCGUCGNCCGAGUUGUAUUCUGGAGAAGCGUUUUCCGUGCCGGACCGUGUACAAGUCCCUUGGAACAGGGCGUCAUAGAGGGUGAGAAUCCCGUCUUUGACACGGACCCCCGGUGCUAUGUGAUGCGCUCUCGAAGAGUCGAGUUGUUUGGGAAUGCAGCUCAAAACGGGUGGUAAAUUCCAUCUAAAGCUAAAUAUUGGCGAGAGACCGAUAGCGAACAAGUACCGUGAGGGAAAGAUGAAAAGCACUUUGGAAAGAGAGUAAAACAGUACGUGAAAUUGUUGAAAGGGAAACGCUUGAAGUCAGUCGCGUCUGCCGGAACUCAGCCUUGCUUCUGCUUGGUGCACUUUCCGGUNCGACGGGCCAGCAUCGGUUUUGAGCGGCGGACACUGGCGNGGGGAAGGUGGUGGCUCCGGCCGCGUUAUAGCCCCGCGUCGCGAACGUCGCAUGGGACCGAGGAAUCCGGCGCAAGCCUGGGAUGCUGGCGUAAUGGCUUUAAACGACCCGUCUUGAAACACGGACCAAGGAGUGCUACGUGCUCGCGAGUGUUUGGGUGGAAAACCCGGACGCGCAAUGAAAGUGAAAGUCGAUACCCUCNGGGGGCACCGACGCCCGAGCCUGAUGUUUUCGGAAGGCCUUGCGGUAGAGCGAGUGCGUUGCGACCCGAAAGAUGGUGAACUAUUCCUGAGGAGGGCGAAGCCAGAGGAAACUCUGGUGGGGGCUCGUAGCGGUUCUGACGUGCAAAUCGAUCGCAGGACUUGGGUAUA
rnacentral:rRNA from 1 species